rnacentral:rRNA from 1 species
UACGGGGGGGGGCAAGCGUUGUUCGGAAUUACUGGGCGUAAAGGGUGCGUAGGCGGCGCGGUAAGUCGGGUGUGAAAUCUCGGAGCUUAACUCCGAAACUGCAUUCGAUACUGCCGUGCUUGAGGACUGGAGAGGAGACUGGAAUUUACGGUGUAGCGGUGAAAUGCGUAGAUAUGCGGAGGAACACCGAUGGCGAAGGCAAUCCCCUGGACCUGUACUGACGCUCAUGCACGAAAGCGUGGGGA